GCCUAACACAUGCAAGUCGAACGAAGGCUUCGGCCUUAGUGGCGCACGGGUGCGUAACGCGUGGGAAUCUGCCCUUGGGUUCGGAAUAACAGUGAGAAAUUACUGCUAAUACCGGAUGAUGACUUCGGUCCAAAGAUUUAUCGCCCAAGGAUGAGCCCGCGUAAGAUUAGCUAGUUGGUGAGGUAAAGGCUCACCAAGGCGACGAUCUUUAGCUGGUCUGAGAGGAUGAUCAGCCACACUGGGACUGAGACACGGCCCAGACUCCUACGGGAGGCAGCAGUGGGGAAUAUUGGACAAUGGGCGAAAGCCUGAUCCAGCAAUGCCGCGUGAGUGAUGAAGGCCUUAGGGUUGUAAAGCUCUUUUACCAGGGAUGAUAAUGACAGUACCUGGAGAAUAAGCUCCGGCUAACUCCGUGCCAGCAGCCGCGGUAAUACGGAGGGAGCUAGCGUUGUUCGGAAUUACUGGGCGUAAAGCGCACGUAGGCGGCCAUUCAAGUCAGAGGUGAAAGCCCGGGGCUCAACCCCGGAACUGCCUUUGAAACUAGAUGGCUUGAAUCUUGGAGAGGCGAGUGGAAUUCCGAGUGUAGAGGUGAAAUUCGUAGAUAUUCGGAAGAACACCAGUGGCGAAGGCGACUCGCUGGACAAGUAUUGACGCUGAGGUGCGA
rnacentral:rRNA from 1 species